AGUCUGCCACAGGAGGAUAUUUUUUGAGGUUAACCUGCUUCCUCCCUCGCAGGAAUGCUAUGUUAGCCGUGGGAUCGGCUUUAAUGAGACCGUGGGUCGACCCUAACUGUUAUCUUCUAUUUGUUUGUUGCAUUUCCCACAUAGUGGAAAAGUAUUUCUUCAGGUUCCUGUGAAAAAUAAUCUCGGCUGUCUCACAGUUUACGGUUACGCCGGCGUGCUAGAUACUGAGUAUAUCUUUUAAUUUGCGCUUUGACUUUUAAACCAAAUGAUUGUGGGAACUGACUUAUUAUACGCAAUUUCGUUAAUCUAACAAUUAAUUGAAAGUAAGUAAACUGGAAUUGAAUGCUUGCGCUUCGAUUGAUCGAUUGAAAAGAAAAUAUAGAGCUUGAAAUUAAAUGCGAAAGCUUGGGAAAUAAAUGAUAGAUAAAAAUAAAGAUAAAAGACUACUGGAGUUUGGGUUGUUUGAGUUAUUCUGGUUGUUGGGGUGUUUUAUAUUGCUGCACAUCUUAUUCUUAUAGUUCUCCUUGCAAGUACUUGAAAGACUUUGAAAGACUUUGAAAGACACCUUGAAACUGUCUACUCCUUGAAACUGCUUGGAGCUGCUGGUAACCUCUCAUCUUCAGAUAACCUUCCAAUGACUCCCCAGAUAUUUGCUUCAUAAUUACCUUAGGUCAUAGAUUAAUUAAAUUAAUUUCACAAGUAAUUAAUUUAAUUAAUUUUUAUACCUAAAAAUAAUUAAUAAAUAAAUUAAUUAUUCUUUGUGUAUCCACUUGACGUUUUGAAUACUUGUAAAUUGUAAAAUUCACUGAUUAAAUGUCCUUUGCAUAAAUGGGUUGACACACUAUUGGUGCCUCAACUUUUAAUGCCUGUUUUUGUGUAUUUUUCAUGUGUUGGCUUUAUUAAACUUUCAACGUUACAAAGAAGAGUACAUUUUGCAGAGAAAAGAUUCAUUACUUCCUGGUUACUUGCAAGGAAACUCUGCCUCUUUGAUGGUUGGCCUUAUCAUCUUAGGAUUAUUAUGUCUAGAAGUAUGGAGCAGGAUCUGGAGACCCACUGGCUGCGUGUUCCAUUAGAAAGAAGCCAGUUAAAAGGUCUACAGCUAUUUCAAGUCUCAGAAAAGUGGCUAUCGAUCAUCAUUGCCAACAGAUUGAAACUGGGCUGUCUGGCAUAGAGCCAGCUGACUGAACUUUUCAAGUUAUUUAUUCAAUGUACACUGCACAAUAGCUACCAUCAGGGAGGACUGUACAUGCUGAAAAAUUCUUUCUGAGUACCUUUGUAAACUCUUUCUACUCUGCUUGUUUGACAAAAUUUUUGUUUUUCAUAGUUAGGAAAAUGUUGGUGGAGAUGUCAGCCUUGUUUGGCAUUGAGUUUCAGCGUCUGACUGACUGCUUUCCUGAAUAAAAG
rnacentral:misc_RNA from 1 species